CAUUCAUCAAAACAUUGUCUCAGAAAGCUCGCAUGUAGAUCACGAAAACCAACAAAAGCAAGAUAAUUAACCCAAGUUUGCAUAAAUCUAUGGCAUGUAUUCUAAUAAUUCCUAGAUAUCAACACACAUACGAUUACGAAUACGAUAAAAACAGAGAUGGUUGAUCGCCAUGUCUGAUACGCGGAAAGAAAGCACUCUUCCGCACCGACAGCUUCGGAAGUACCCUACCGGCAGUAACGGAACGGUUUUUACCGACAGAGUGGGGGGGAGAUCCCAAGGCGGCAGUCGGUAGAGGAAGAGAGAGAGAUAAGACGGAAUCGUGGGACUGAAAUGCGAGCAGUUGGGUUGAUAGAUGGAGUGGUGGUGGAGUCGCCCCAGCCCGGCCUUGCUUUGUUCAUCUCGCCGCAGGGACCCGUUGCAACCGCAUCUGCAUCUGGCUUCGACACCCUGGUUUUGCGCUUGUCGAAUCCUUGCUUCCUUGCUUUCCGUCAGACUGUAGUUAUCCGGAGGCUGUAGUUCCAUGCAUCUCCACCGGGUCUUGCAGAUGACAUGGUGUGCUGAAGAGCCGUGCCCGACUGAAAUCGUGGACCCUGAGAUCUCUAUCUGGCUGCGUAGAUCCCUAAAGCUGGUCAGAGAAUAUGAGGUAUCGUUCCAACGUCUUUGUUGGUGCCUACUACGACAUGCCGUGCUAAGCCUCCUUAGCCUUGGUUACAGGACUUGGACUGGAUCGUCAACAGAGGUCGUCAUUGAGAUCCGAAUUCUGAGCGAAUGUGGUUGAAGCUGCUUCCAUGUAGAGGAACUUGGUGCACACAAGUAUUACCUUUGGAGGCUGUGUCAAAGACAAAUGAAGCCAAUUCUCGAAUGUGGAGAGAAACGGUAGUAAUUCCACUGCUGGCGGAUCGUGGUGCAUCAAAGACCCAUGAAUGUACGGUAUAGAACACCCUCUGGUGAGAUUUUUCUUCAAGAAAUUCUUUUCAAUGCGGGUUUUUCAAUUACACGUGCACCAUGAUGUAUUGCAAAAGAAAUGUCAACUACUAUUUGGAGAAUUACAAGUUUUUAGUUGCACCUAUAGUCAGUUUUACAUGCAAAACAUAACCACAUAGCACCAAUAGUCAGUUACCUUAAAAUAACCUAUAAAUCCACCACUCGGAAGAAUCUUUUGCCUUAGUUCCCGGGCACCUCAACGCUUGGGGAAGGUGUGCAUGGAGCAGCACCAUUCCCUGUAUUUAGCGACGUAACAACACAUAGUUGAGGAGCACCGCGGCUUUAUCAGGAUAUCCAAAUCACGCUAAAUACGCCCAGUAGCUUACACACCAUUUCCGCUUAGUUGGGGUACAUGCCAUGGUGCUUCGUCUGACACGUCUGCUUUUGUUUUCCAUUGCCCUAAAAUUUCUCAUUGCUUCAUCGCCUUCUGCAUUAACUUUGGCAUUCCAAUGUAGCCAUCACGCAAUUCAGGUCACACAUUGAAUUCAGAUAGAGUCUCUUAUCUGUCACAUUAAGAUGGUUGAGAAGUAUUUGGAAGCCCUGGCGAUAUCAAGGAUCUUUUCUGGUACGCCACAUCAGAAGGCAAUGUCAGAUUGUGUAAACAGCAUGCGAUCAUGGGCAACAAAAAUUCGCGGUUCCAUUGUCCCGGAAUUUCUGCUUUCCCAUCGUGCUCUUCUUUUUCUUCUAUAUCCCCUAAAUUCCGAGAUCUAGAGGUCUGACCUCGACAUUCCAGUAGGAUCGGAGAGCCCCAAUAUACGAAACGCCUUCAAACACCCCUGUAAUUCUGUUGGGGAGAAAGAAAACUAUUCAGACUCCACCUUCGGCAAUAUUUGCGGUGAAAUUGUUCGUAUAUGUCAACUACUCCACAGAAAUAACAUGGAGAUACUUCUUUUUUUCUUCAUAUCUUUAAAGCACUGGUUUACCAUAACCUGAUCAGAGGUGAAUUUUAAAGGAUUUUUUUUAUUGAAGAUCGUUAUUCUUUACACCCUCGCUGAACUAUAUAUAUAUAUAUAUAUAUAUACAAAUUUUUCAUUUUAUGCAUGCGGUAACUUCUAAUUUUAUCAUUCACUUAUCUCACAGUUAUGACCUCUUUCCGUGCUAUCCAAUACCAAAACUCAUUUUUCUAAUUUAAGUUGAUGUUAUAACUUGUAGUCAACCUAACUAAACUAAGGAUGCUCUUAUGACAUCCAACACUCUCCUUCAAUCCUAGUUUUUCUUUUAUCAACAUAACUCUUGUUUUUUCUUGUAUUAUUUCUAUUGAUACUAUGGCUCAUCUUUAGUCUUUGACUUUUCUUUGCACAAUUUUACAAAUUGUUUGUAAAGUUUUAUGCUAUUAGACAAGGUUGGCAUCCAGGUAUAUAUAAAUCUUGGUCAAAAUGUCAAGCCAAAAUAAUCCAUUUUCUUUGAGCUGAAUUCAAAACUUAUAAGACUUUAGUUGAAGCACACCAUUACCUUCAAUCUUCUUCAUGUUCAACUAUUUUUUAGUUCCUAUUUUGUAAGAAAUUUGGAAUAAUCCUCCUACUUA